rnacentral:rRNA from 1 species
AUACGAAGGGGGCUAGCGUUGUUCGGAAUCACUGGGCGUAAAGCGCGCGUAGGUGGAUCAAUUAGUUGAGGGUGAAAUCCCGGGGCUCAACCUCGGAACUGCCUUCAAUACUGUUGAUCUUGAGACCGAGAGAGGUGAGUGGAAUUCCUAGUGUAGAGGUGAAAUUCGUAGAUAUUAGGAAGAACACCAGUGGCGAAGGCGGCUUACUGGCUCGGUACUGACGCUGAGGUGCGAAAGCGUGGGGAGCAAACAGGAUUAGAAACCCGAGUAGUCC